rnacentral:snRNA from 1 species
GGCUGUGAGGGCCAUAUGGCUGUGACGUAACCCUGUUGAUCACCCAGCUGGAUCUGGUUGAUCUAACUGGCUAGGCGAGUGUCCCCUUCCUCCCUCGCUGCUCCGUGUGUGUAUAUCUCAAAGCUGCAUGCCCCAAAAGAGAUGGGCUGGGCUUCCAAUGUAGCUGCAUUCCCUUCUGAUAGAAGCCCCAAGCCAGCUCUCAAGAUCCAUUUUAUUAGAUACACAUUGUUAUUUUAUAUAUAUAUGUAUUAAUAUAUAUUAAU